UACAGAGGGUGCAAGCGUUAAUCGGAAUUACUGGGCGUAAAGAGUGCGUAGGCGGAUAUUUAAGUCAGAUGUGAAAGCCCCGGGCUUAACCUGGGAAUUGCAACUGAAACUGUAAAUCUAGAGUGUGGUAGAGGAUAGUGGAAUUUCUGGUGUAGCGGUGAAAUGCGUAGAUAUCAGAAGGAACACCAGUGGCGAAGGCGACUAUCUGGGCCAACACUGACGCUGAGGUACGAAAGCGUGGGUAGCGAAC
rnacentral:rRNA from 1 species